rnacentral:rRNA from 1 species
UGGGUAACCUGCCUCAAAGAGGGGGAUAGCCUCCCGAAAGGGGAGAUUAAUACCGCAUAAUAUGUUUAGGUCGCAUGACUUUAACAUCAAAGGAUUUUCUUUUAGAAAUUCCACUUUGAGAUGGACCCGCGGCGCAUUAGCUAGUUGGAGAGGUAACGGCUCACCAAGGCGACGAUGCGUAGCCGACCUGAGAGGGUGAUCGGCCACAUUGGAACUGAGACACGGUCCAGACUCCGUAGGAGG